GUUUGGUGUUUUCACACUAAGUAGUGGUGAGUAUUCCCGCCUGUCACGCGGGUGACCCGGGUUCGAUCCCCGGCAACGGCGCCA